rnacentral:rRNA from 1 species
UACAGAGGGUGCGAGCGUUGUCCGGAAUCACUGGGCGUAAAGGGCGCGUAGGUGGCCCCUCAAGCGUGCGGUGAAAGUCAGGGGCUCAACCCCUGAUCGGCCGUGCGAACUGGGGAGCUUGAGCACUGUAGAGGCAGGCGGAAUUCCGGGUGUAGCGGUGGAAUGCGUAGAGAUCCGGAAGAACACCGGUGGCGAAGGCGGCCUGCUGGGCAGUUUUGCUGGACACUGAGGCGCGACAGCAUGGGGAGCAACAGG